UCACAGCUUUCCCCAAAAAAUGAACAUUUUACCGAAGAAAUUCGGCAACACCCGAAUGUUCAUACGGCGUUCUUCCUUACCAAGGCAGUACUAAUGUUGGGGAUUUUAUCGAAGAUAUCCAUCAAUGGAGCGUUUGCAUGCAAUUUUUUAUUGCUUCAUCUGAAAUUGCUUGACGAGCUGAUAUCACAGUAUUUUUUAUAAUUUUCUGAUAUGGGAAAUAGUACAAAAAUAGAAUUAAAAGUGAGAAAAUGCACCGCCUACUGACGUCAUCUGGCGGCAUUUUCCAUUUAAACACACGUAUUUAGCAGAUUAGAUAAUUUUGUCAUAUCUUCUUCAAGAAUUGUUCAAUUCGUGAAUUAAGGGUAUCCUCGUGUUCAGUUCACUCAGUAGUUUCCACUUAAACACGAAAUUCAUCAAAUUUCAGACACCUGCAAAUUCUCCAUUGAAUCGAAUCGAUUUCUUUGAGAAUCCUUCCGUGUUUCUUAGCACGGCAAAGUUCUGUUUUUAACUGUGUGUUUUGUUUAUGUUGCAGAAUCGAAGAAACGGCGGUUCCACCCGUUGCGGGGCCUGCGUCGGAUUUUCCGGCGGAAGCCGCGGGCCCAGGACCGGGAGCGGGAGCGGGGCCCGGACUCGCCGCACUCGAGUCGCGAGGGCCUCUCCCCGGACGACGCCCACCCCCACCCCACCCGGGCACCGACGCCGCCGGCAUCCAGGCCCAGUGCAGCCGCUCCGCCAGCCAACUCAUUCAGGACCCUUCUCAGUCAAGGAGGAGCCUUCACUCAACCGUACUAAGUGUUAGCCAUGACAGCAUAUUCUCACCCGAAAUCCACCCCGAAUCUCAACUGGGCUCAGUUCAGUCCGUCCAAAAAUUAGGCCACUCCAACAUCAGGGCGGAGCUGUUCGAUGCCGUCAGGCGGAGGAAAGGGCGGGAGGACACGAGCGAAGAGGACCUGGGCCUCCCCCGGAGCCCCCUCAGCAACUCCCUCACCACCACCGAUGCUCUCUCCGAAGCCAACAAGGAUGUGAGAAUAACCAAGUCCCCGCAUAGCACUUGCA
rnacentral:lncRNA from 1 species